UAGCCAAUCUCAAUUGUACACUUAGAACUACUUGGGAUUAUUUUCUUAGUAAUUGAAGCAAAAACAAUAACUUAGAUACAGUACUAUAUCAUGGACCAAAAUGGAACCAACCAUGCAAAGGCCUGUUGCCAGAAAGCCAAAUCAUUUGGCUAGGCCUGGUAUUAGACUGACAAAAAUUUGAAAGUCGACUUCUGAAUUCUUCAAUGGUGUUAUGGUUUUACAAAGGAUGCUUCAUUAGUAGUACUACAGUAAUAAUCCAAUGAUGUAUACAAACAACAUGGUGACAAAGAUGAAAUACAAGAUUCAUAUUUUAUAUAAAUCUUCAAAAUAGAAUGUUAAAAUUAUUCACUCUCCGAUUCUUGGAAUAGGAGUUUCAGAUAUUAAAAUAUCUGAUCCACUCCUUGGACAAAUUUCCUGCAGGUCAGAUUCACCACAGGGAUUUCUUGAGUGGGGAAGGCAAACUAGAAUCCCAAUCCCCACCUUCCUUUCCCCACACAUGCAAGGUCUUCUAGGCACACCCCUGGGAUACAUGUACACGGACACCUCAACAUGAAUACAGGAUACAAUUACUUUUUAAGAAAAUAGAAGCAAAACAAAUCAUGGCACAUUAACAAUGUAACCAGAAUAUAUGUUAAAUUAACUGAAAAUUUGGAAUACCUGAUAAUCCAACAUAGUGAUGAUUAAAUAUUUUAUUUUUAAAGGUUACAAUGAUUCUUAGUACUGUCAAAGAUUUAUAAAAGUGUAUAUAAGGGAAGUCCUU
rnacentral:misc_RNA from 1 species